rnacentral:rRNA from 1 species
GACGGAGGAUGCAAGUGUUAUCCGGAAUCACUGGGCGUAAAGCGUCUGUAGGUGGUCAAAUAAGUCAACUGUUAAAUCUUGAGGCUCAACCUCAAAAUCGCAGUCGAAACUAUUAGACUAGAGUACAGUAGGGGUAAAGGGAAUUUCCAGUGGAGCGGUGAAAUGCGUAGAUAUUGGAAAGAACACCGAUGGCGAAGGCACUUUACUGGGCUAUUACUAACACUCAGAGACGAAAGCUAGGGUAGCAAAUGGG